rnacentral:lncRNA from 15 species
GCCAGGCAAUUUAUUUGACAUCCACAAAUUACAAUUAUGGUCCAAAUGCAAAUUCCUAAAUGUGUUUCCACACAUGAUUUAUCAAAUGUGCAAAUCACAGAUUGUAAAAUAUGAAUCACACACAGCUACAAAUGAUUAAGCACAAUAAUUUGUCUACACAGCAGCAAUGUGUUAAUGCAAUCUCUAGUUGUUAAUUGUGUUAAAUAAUAAUUAAGAAGACAAUGGAGGUGCAAAUUUAGUGUCGGCUCCAUUGUUGUGAAAAGACUGUUAUUUUUCACUUCAGAAUCUGUAUAAUGAGCACUGCUGUGCAAUAAAUAAUAUUCAGACAGUGGUAUUGUUCUAGCCUUCUAAAAUCAAAGUAAUCGAAAUACCAAGCUUCAUCUCUGACUGCGAGCCCUAAAUUGCAUAUCCAUUAUUGUCUCCCACAGCCUGUUAAAAACAAAAAACUGCUGGGUUCAUAGGAAUAUCAAAAACAUUAAUUGGUUUUAGGAAAGUUUUUGUAAUAAAAGGCACUACAAAAAUGUAUGUAUAUUGUACUGUACGUGUGUUUGCGUCUGGACAUUUGUGGUUUGUCUUUUCAGCAGUAUUUGGACAACGUAACCACCCAGAUGCCAGACUUUCUCUGAAGUGGAUCGAUGCAAAUGGCUCGCUGUUGCAAUCACAGAUGCCACAAGCAAGGACAGACAGGCAGCCAACAUCUCUUUCUCUCUCUUCCUCCACACACACUCUCUGUGGCACAAAAUGAUCUGCCACUCUGAACAAGAGUAUGCGCUACAGGGCGGCCGCUGGCAUCAAUUUAUCAGCACUGGGCUCAUCCAGAAUAUUGUCUCUCCUUCUGGCAGGAAGCAAAUCAAACAAACAAGAGGACAAAUGGAGAGCAAGAAGAAAAAAAAGGUGGAAAGCAGAACAAAGAGGAAAAGCAGUGGGACUCCUUUUGCCAACCUCUUCAAUCAGAUGUUUCUCAUCCCUUCUCCCCUUGCCUCGUUACACUGUGGUCUCGCCUGGCUGAGUCGGUGCCGGUGGCCUUGCAGACAGCUAGCUGUGCCCAUUACCUUAAGCAUGUCUGGCUGGUGUGAGCUAGAUUAGAGGAGGAAUGAAUAAGGCUUCUUGACUGUGAGCGCCCGGCCACCUACCUAUAAAUCACCUGCUAACUCCCCACAGCCAUCCCCACCACUCCGCCCUCCCUGUGUCAAAAGUCUCUGACCCAAUCAGAAUUUCACUGUUGUUCCCUCUUGCCCCUCCUUCCCCUUUUUUGUCCGUUUUUUUUUCAUACCUGCCUGCUUUUCUCCCCCUUCUUCACAAUC